rnacentral:rRNA from 1 species
GAUGAACGCUGGCGGCGUGCCUAAUACAUGCAAGUCGAGCGAACAGACGAGGAGCUUGCUCCUCUGACGUUAGCGGAGGACGGGUGAGUAACACGUGGAUAACCUACUUAUAAGACUGGGAUAACUUCGGGAAACCGGAGCUAAUACCGGAUAAUAUAUUGAACCGCAUGGUUCAAUAGUGAAAGACGGUUUUGCUGUCACUUAUAGAUGGAUCCGCGCCGCAUUAGCUAGUUGGUAAGGUAACGGCCUACCAAGGCAACGAUGCGUAGCCGACCUGAGAGGGUGAUAGGCCGCAUGAGAGGUGGAACACGGUCCAGGCGACUGCGGGAGGGAGCAGAAGCGUAUCUUCGGCAAUGGUCGGGAGCCUUACGGAGCGGGUGGACGUGAGAGAUGAAAGUCUUCGGAUCGUGAUACUGUGUUAUGGGGUGUGAACAAAUUUGUAAGGAACUAUGGACGGCUUGACGGUACCGAGUCAGAAAGCCACGGCUAACUACGUG